rnacentral:rRNA from 1 species
CAGCAGCCGCGGGAAUACGGAGGGAGCUAGCGUUGUUCGGAAUUACUGGGCGUAAAGCGCGCGUAGGCGGUUACUCAAGUCAGAGGUGAAAGCCCGGGGCUCAACCCCGGAACUGCCUUUGAAACUAGGUGACUAGAAUCUUGGAGAGGUCAGUGGAAUUCCGAGUGUAGAGGUGAAAUUCGUAGAUAUUCGGAAGAACACCAGUGGCGAAGGCGACUGACUGGACAAGUAUUGACGCUGAGGUACGAAAGCUAGGGGAGCAAAUGGGAUUAGAUACCCCAGUAGUCCCUGUCUCUUAUAC